rnacentral:lncRNA from 1 species
AUACAUACACACUUAAUUCNUAAUUUAUUUAAAAAUAUUACCUACACUAUUUUUCAUGAGAGAAAGGAAGUGUUUCGCACACGCAGACUGAGCUUGUGGAUCACUCGCUAUCGCUCUCGUAGUCCGCAAAAUUACACCUGGCUCGAUAGUGGUGGGAGCGUAAGAAUGAUUGAUUUUCGUAGAGACUCUCUACUGUUCUUUCGUGAAAAAUAAUAUAUAUAUUAUGAAUAUUAUCCUUUAGUUUAGUUAUGCAACACAAUUGUUGGAACAAAAAUGUUAAGUAUAUUUUUGUGUGAUAUAUAUUACCCAUCUACAAUAUUAUCAUUGCCUUUAUUGAUUGGUAGAUUACCUUUAACUCAACCAAGGUAAAGCAUCAUUCUAUUUGGUAGC